ACUGGAAUUCCUGGUGUAGCGGUGAAAUGCGCAGAUAUCAGGAGGAACACCGAUGGCGAAGGCAGGUCUCUGGGCAUUAACUGACGCUGAGGAGCGAAAGCAUGGGGAGCGAACAGGAUUAGAUACCCUGGUAGUCCAUGCCGUAAACGUUGGGCACUAGGUGUGGGGGACAUUCCACGUUUUCCGCGCCGUAGCUAACGCAUUAAGUGCCCCGCCUGGGGAGUACGGCCGCAAGGCUAAAACUCAAAGGAAUUGACGGGGGCCCGCACAAGCGGCGGAGCAUGCGGAUUAAUUCGAUGCAACGCGAAGAACCUUACCAAGGCUUGACAUGAACCGGAAAGACCUGGAAACAGGUCCCCCGCUUGCGGUCGGUUUACAGGUGGUGCAUGGUUGUCGUCAGCUCGUGUCGUGAGAUGUUGGGUUAAGUCCCGCAACGAGCGCAACCCUCGUUCUAUGUUGCCAGCGCGUGAUGGCGGGGACUCAUAGGAGACUGCCGGGGUCAACUCGGAGGAAGGUGGGGACGACGUCAAAUCAUCAUGCCCCUUAUGUCUUGGGCUUCACGCAUGCUACAAUGGCCGGUACAAAGGGUUGCGAUACUGUGAGGUGGAGCUAAUCCCAAAAAGCCGGUCUCAGUUCGGAUUGGGGUCUGCAACUCGACCCCAUGAAGUCGGAGUCGCUAGUAAUCGCAGAUCAGCAACGCUGCGGUGAAUACGUUCCCGGGCCUUGUACACACCGCCCGUCAAGUCACGAAAGUUGGUAACACCCGAAGCCGGUGGCCUAACCCCUUGUGGGAGGGAGCU
rnacentral:rRNA from 1 species